GGCGGCACGCCUAACACAUGCAAGUCGAACGAAGUAGCAAUACUUAGUGGCAGACGGGUGAGUAACAUGUAGGUAUCUGCCCUUUGGCCUGGAAUAACACGAGGAAACUUGUGCUAAUACCGGAUAAGUCUUUACGGAGAAAGCUUUAUGCACCAUUGGAUGAGCCUGCACUUGAUUAGUUUGUUGGUGGGGUAAUGGCCUACCAAGACUGUGAUCAAUAGCUGAUUUGAGAGGAUGAUCAGCCACAUUGGGACUGAGACACGGCCCAAACUCCUACGGGAGGCAGCAGUGGGGAAUCUUGCACAAUGGAGGAAACUCUGAUGCAGCGAUGCCGCGUGAGUGAAGAAGGCCUUUGGGUUGUAAAGCUCUUUCGUCGGGGAAGAAAAUGACUGUACCCGAAUAAGAAGGUCCGGC
rnacentral:rRNA from 1 species